rnacentral:rRNA from 1 species
CCUACGGGGGGCAGCAGUGGGGAAUAUUGGACAAUGGGGGCAACCCUGAUCCAGUCAUGCCGCGUGUGUGAAGAAGGCCCUCGGGUUGUAAAGCACUUUCAGUGAGGAAGAACGCCUGGUGGUUAAUACCCAUCAGGAAAGACAUCACUCACAGAAGAAGCACCGGCUAACUCCGUGCCAGCAGCCGCGGUAAUACGGAGGGUGCGAGCGUUAAUCGGAAUUACUGGGCGUAAAGCGCGCGUAGGUGGCUUGAUAAGCCGGUUGUGAAAGCCCCGGGCUCAACCUGGGAACGGCAUCCGGAACUGUCAAGCUAGAGUGCAGGAGAGGAAGGUAGAAUUCCCGGUGUAGCGGUGAAAUGCGUAGAGAUCGGGAGGAAUACCAGUGGCGAAGGCGGCCUUCUGGACUGACACUGACACUGAGGUGCGAAAGCGUGGGUAGCAAACAGGAUUAGAUACCCUUGUAGUC